GACGGAAGGUGCAAGCGUUGCUCGGAAUCACUGGGCGUAAAGGGUGCGUAGGCGGCUUGGUAGGUCUGGUGUGAAAGCCCCGGGCUCAGCCCGGGAAGGGCACUAGAAACUGCCAAGCUAGAGUGCCGGAGGGGGAGAGUGGAAUUCCUGGUGUAGCGGUGAAAUGCGUAGAUAUCAGGAGGAAUACCGGUGGCGAAAGCGACUCUCUGGACGGCAACUGACGCUGAGGCACGAAGGCCAGGGGAGCAAACGGG
rnacentral:rRNA from 1 species